GACGAACGCUGGCGGCGUGCUUAACACAUGCAAGUCGAGCGGAAAGGCCACUUCGGUGGUACUCGAGCGGCGAACGGGUGAGUAACACGUGAGUAAUCUGCCCUUCACUUGGGGAUAACCUCCGGAAACGGAGGCUAAUACCCGAUAUGACCAGUGCCCGCAUGGGUUGCUGGUGGAAAGUUUUUUCGGUGGAGGAUGUGCUCGCGGCCUAUCAGCUUGUUGGUGGGGUAAUGGCCUACCAAGGCUUCGACGGGUAGCCGGCCUGAGAGGGUGACCGGCCACACUGGGACUGAGACACGGCCCAGACUCCUACGGGAGGCAGCAGUGGGGAAUAUUGGACAAUGGGCGGAAGCCUGAUCCAGCAACGCCGCGUGAGGGAUGACGGCCCUCGGGUUGUAAACCUCUUUCAGCGGGGACGAAGCCUUCCCCUUUUGGGCGAGGUGACGGUACCCGCAGAAGAAGCACCGGCCAACUACGUGCCAGCAGCCGCAGUAAUAC
rnacentral:rRNA from 1 species